AGCAACAAUUUCAGUGGUCGAGUUUAUGGCAGUUGGAGGUUAGAUCUCGGGCAGAGCAUAUUCGGUUAUGCCAGAUCUAUUACUUCCAACUGACAUCGACUCGUCCUCAUUUAUUCCUCCUAC
rnacentral:precursor_RNA from 9 species